rnacentral:lncRNA from 1 species
UUAGGAGGUACCACCUUUACUUUAGACUUUAAGAAAUUUCCUUAUACAAUCAGUCAAUACCUAGUGUGAUCUGCGACUUGCAGUCUCCAAGCAGCAGUAAGGCACUGUUCGUAGCAGGAAUUUUGUGCUCACCGGACAGCAGGUUAUUGCUUUUCCUUACUCACGUACCGACUAUGCUAGUCUACAGAUAGUUUCUGUAUUUCGCUCAAACGUUAUCAGAAAUAAAAAGGAACUCUGUCCCUUUAACACAGGCGGUAAACACCAGAAUCACUUUCUUUUAAGAGUAACUUCCUGUAAAUUGUGAAGGGGGAAAUACAUGUGGCUUCAUCAAAGCAGCUUGUGAGAGCUUUUGCGGUGUGUUUUGUUAAGAGAAAAUGGAACAAGGCUGGGUGAAUUCUGCUAUCAAGAGGGGUUUUCAAGUUUGUUUACUCUGAUGUGCAAACUUCCAGGAACAUGGGGUUCCAUCGCUCUUGUACUCUUCGCUGGUGCGGAAACUGCUUUCUAAAGCUACGGAUGUUCAUAUUCCUGCCAGCAAAAACGAGAUGUUCUACAAUAUCCUUUGCAUGUGAAAGACUGAUUCAAAUAAAUCCUCCCAAGGAAAGCCUUUCAGUUACUUACAGUGAAUCUUUAAAUGAAACAGGGAACUGGACAGUGAGGGGGAGAUUCUUAGGUACUUCUUGCCUUUUCUCAAAAUAAUCACACAUUAAUGAGACUUAUGCUGGAUUGUCUUAAUUCAGACCUUUAACUCCAAGAACUAUGCACCUUUGUGGCUCACUUCUGAGAAGACGUUAUUGACAAUAAAGGCAAAAAUGCACUCAUGGUUCCACCAUUGUAAGUCAGGUGAUUAAUAUAUUUUAAGGAGGAAUAAUUAUUAAAUAAAAAUUGUGAGCACAUG